rnacentral:antisense_RNA from 1 species
GUCCUCUAAAGCAACUUCCGUGGGUGCCAGGUUAUGGGCUGGGGGCGGUGCUGACCUUGAGAGAGCGGAGGAGGCGCAGGCGCAGCACAGUUUAAACUUGAUUUUGUGAGGGGACGAACAGCGUGACAAUUAAAGAAGAUCUAGGAAUCAUCCAAUGUGAUAAUUUAUGUGAAAUCUUUCUGCAAACUAUACAGUAUGAUAAAAAUAUAAGGUAGUUUCACUGGAAACAACAGAAGACUAGAAGCUGAUGUGACGUGGCAAUAUCAACCAGGAAUACCCAUCUCGAGUUCUGGAUAUGUGCUCUGAGAAGGUGCCCAUGUCACCGACCACACUGGAGGCCAAUGCAGAUACUGGGGGAAGGUUCCAUGGUAGCUAAGUGUGGACAAGCUAAUCACUGAAGUUCCCUGAUGCAGAGCUGAUAAUCUCUCUAGAGUUGGAUGAAAGACUGUGCUGCCUUGAAGCUCUGAGAGAUGCCAUGCCAAUUCAAGGCAGGGUCUUUAUUGUUGAAACUCUUGCGUAAUGACAUCUUUAUUCAGGUGAAAAUACAGGAUGAAUUUCAACUGUAUGAUAUUGUUUAUGUUCAUCAGACAUGUUAUUUGUCUUUACAAACAUUGGUUUCAAUAAACUGGCUGUGUGACUGAUAUUAAAUAAACAUGGAAUUUUACACAUUCAUAAUAUUUGGUUUCU